rnacentral:rRNA from 1 species
UACGGGGGGUGCAAGCGUUAAUCGGAAUAACUGGGCGUAAAGCGCACGCAGGCGGAUUAUUAAGUUAGAUGUGAAAUCCCCGGGCUUAACCUGGGAAUGGCAUCUCAGACUGGGUAGCUAGAGUAUUGUAGGGGGGGGUAGAAUUCCACGUGUAGCGGUGAAAUGCGUAGAGAUGUGGAGGAAUACCGGAGGCGAAGGCAGCCCCCUGGACAUGGACUGACGCUCAGGUGCGAAAGCGUGGGGAGCAAACAGG